UUUAAGGAAUGAUCACCUUACAUUUGGAGCUAGGAGGGGUGUGCAAGGAAGAAAUGUGAAAUUAUCUCCAGAAAUGCCUUCUGUUCAGGCAAGAAACUCUGGGAUACCAUCCAAGUCCGGAUCAACGUUGGAUUCAAAUGGAGUUGACUCACAUUGGAAUGUAUUGAAACUUUUGAAGUCCUAUGGCCCACAAGAUCUUGCCUCAUUGUAUAAUAAUUGUGGACCCAGUAAUAGUGGAGACCCUAAUAUCAGUCAAGAAGGGAAAGGACCUUUCCAAUACCUGCAGCACUCUAACAGUAUGUCACAAAAAAGGAGCAUUAAUCACCCUCAUAGUGGAUCUUUAGACAAGAAAGAGUACAUGACCCAAUGAGACCUGCCAGUGGAACAAGAUCCAUUGAAAGCUGUGAAUGGAAUGUUCUUUCUGUAUCCAAGUUGAUUUUUUGGCGGCAACCAGCUGGCCCACUCGAGAUCUAACAACACCUGAAGUUUGAGAUCCACACCAAAUAAGCUGUGAUGUCUACAUGUAUAGAACACUACUAUUCAUUUUUGGGUUACGUUUUUUUGUUCUGUUCAAACACAGUUGUAAGCAGAAACUAUAUAUACACAUACAUACAAAAUGCCUUGUAUUCCGUUUUGAUUAUGACCUUGAAAUUGUAUUGUUUGAAUUGUCAAGUGUUCCUGUUUUUUGCAAUAACUACAUUGCUUGGCACUAAUAAUUUGAGUUUGGGGCCAUCAUUUUUUGUUUAUAACUUUUUUCAAAGCGAAAAUAGAUUUUGGUACGUGAUAUUGACAUUUCUGGGAAAAUGUAUAACUCUUAUUGAACUUUUUCUUUAAUUUGAAAAAUGAGCAAUAAAUUGUAUGACCUGUGGUAAUGCUUCUAGCAUCAGUCUUCCAAUAGUCUCUUUAUAUUCCAUUUGGUCUUCAGUUGCACAGCUGUGGCAAGCAAUACUUAAGUUGGGAACCUUUUAUGCUUGGUUUGUAACAUUUAGUAAAUCUUUUGUUUGAACACUAGAUUGCUUUAGAGUCUCCUGCAGCAGGACCUUGAUUGUUAAUAUUGUGAAAAUCAUACAUGCAUGGGAGAGGCAUUAAGUAAGUGCCCCUUACACAGAGCUCUGAAAUGUCACAGCAUAGUGUUGGAUUAUCUUACAAUAUCAUGAAUGCUGUCCACUAGACAAAUAAUGCACUAUUGGAAUAUGACGUGGGAAUUUUUUCAAAAUCAAACAUGGUAGAUUGCAGCAAGACACUUGCUGGGUCAUCUCAAGUCAACUAAUGAUUUGGAAGUUUCUGUAUGUACAAAGUUAACAACACAGCAAAGUGAAAAUUCUGAACCAUUGUUUAAAUCUGCAUAAUUUGAAGUGACUUGUGUGUAUUGUAUUAUUUUGUUUUUGCUUUCCUUGCUCAAUUUCAGCCCAAGUGAUUUUGUAGAAUGCGUGCAAGAUCAAAACUGGAAGGGGUUUGUUUUGCUAAUAGAGAGGGGAGAUGCACUGUUGCAAGAUAUGUUUUUGUAAUUUCAUGCAUUAAUAUGCAAGUUUCUUGAGACUUCUCCCAGAUGUGGAAGACUACUUCUUUACAGGCAGAAGACUUCUGCACCUCCUCUUCCCCAGGUGGAACAUUGAGCCGAGAACUGAAGUAGUACCUUAUAAUUGUCACAAUGUGUCGCAACACUCUUGUUUUGAUGGCCCUUCAAGCUGCAGUUCGACAGAUUCUGAAAAAAAAAAGUUCUUGUCUGGAGAUGUGUAACUGAACAGAUGUUUAAGUAUUAGCACUAGGCCCAAAAUAAAAUCAAAAGUUGAACCAUAAAGUUAAAAUCCUCACGUUGGAUGUUGCCCACUUUCUUGUAGGCUACUGACAACAUUGAGGGUAUUCUUUACUAGCUGAUGAUUUAAUUUUUGUGCUUUCAAAUCCUUAAUCUAAAUGAUCCCAGAAGACUUUGAUGUUAAGAUUUUGUUUGUGGUUUUAUUUUACAUAAAGCUGCACAUUUGGCAUACUAAGGUGGAGAAGCAAUGGGAUUAUUUUUACCCUUUUCUGUGUGAACUUUAGUUUUAACUGAAGUAACACUGCGUGAUGAGUGCUGAGCAUCCUAAAUUAUUAUUCAGUUUCAUCAUGUACUAGCUCAUUUAUUGUACAACAUUUUUGGUAAAGUUAUCGCUGAAAUGUUGAUAUCUUCCCCGCCGCCCCCCCCAAGCAAUCUGUACAAGGGCAGCUAUGUUCUAGUCAUAUUUGAUACUCUUUCCUGCAGCUUAUCUAUUGAUUGUGUUCUCCCAUAAGCACAACUGCUAUAUCUUUUGUUUUCUGAUUGAAUGUAUAUUAACAGUUCAAGCUUUAGUAUACUCUUAAGUAAUGCUUACCACAGCUAUGCUUAAAUUUGUUGUAUUGGUUGAAAUUCAGUGAAUUUACCAUUUUUAGACACAUUGUUCUGCAACAUUUAAAGUGCUUAGUUGAUUAGUUUUCCAGGUUGUGUAGCUGAAAAAUUUAAGUCAAUAAUUCUUUUGAAGACUAUCCAUUUACUGAACUUGCCCCUUUAAUCUUGCCACUUUUAAUGCACAUUUUAAAGUCAUUUCAUUGUACUUUAGUUCUGCGAGGAAGAUAUUGCAUUUUGAUUCUUGAACUAAUUUCAAUAAUCCCUUUCUGUCUUUGAGAAUUGAGCUUCUCUACUUGUUUUAUGAUUUGUUAUUUGACUGGGACCAAUGGUAUUGGGAAGUUUCAAAUAGGCUGAAAAUAAACUUUUGCUACAAAUAAUUCAAUUAUCAAAUUUACAUUAUGAAAUGCACUAAAUUUCCAUUUUGAGAGCAAGGUGGAAUGAACAGAACUGUGAUUUAGUACAAAUGGAAGUCAACAAGUGCGUGAGACUUUGGAAGAAUUUGGCUUCUUUUCUUUAGCAUUCUCUAACCUGAAUUUCAAGAGACAACAAUGACCAAGGAUAUUGUGUAGAAAUGGCAAUUUGUAUAUACUGCACUAGUGACAGGAAUGCUGUGUAUUAACGUACUAGCCCUGUACCCUGGGGAAGAAGUGUAUAUAGAAGUGAAGUUCCGGGCAGUUUUGUUUUGAGAUGGGUAAUGGGCCAGUAUUCAUUCAUUUAUGAUAUUAGGCUUAGUAGAUAGCCUCAAUUGUUUUUUUAAUGUAAAUACAGCAAAUGUAACAUUUCAAUACAAUUGGGCUGCUAAAAUAUUUUCUGUUCAUUUUGUACAUUUGUUUAGGUGAAGGGGAUUUUUUUGGUUGAAUUCCAAGUGGUUUUUAUGAAGUAAUUGAGGCUUUUGGCUAGCUAUAGAUUUUCUUUUAAAGAAUUGGAUAAUAUUUUGACUUUUUUAAAAGAUGGAUUAGUUGAAAGCAAUCUGUAUUCAUCAUUGAAAACAUCUUGGUGCACAGCAUACACAGAACAUUGGUACAUGGUCUGUCAGCUCUCCACAAAUGCUGCUAACAUACCCUUGGUAAUGGAACCAUUGGAAGACUGUGAACUUUGCAUAUAGUUUUACUGUGCCUGAUAGUUAUGUUUCAACUGUUAACUCAUGUUUGUAAAACGCAUUGUUAUUUUCCCAUUUAAGAAUUUGGUGAUACACAAAGGAGAAACUAGCUAUGCAGCAAGAUGAUGUGUGUGUAUGUUAUAUUAGUCUUACAGUCUGUUCUAAUACUUCCAAGCAGAGCGUCUGAAUUGUGACGUGUGCCUUACCAAGAAAUCUCAAACUCAUAAUUUUCUUGGGAAAAAGAAAUAUGCUCAACAGAUUGAGCAGUCUUUGUUUUGGUUUGGGGUUUGUAAUAUUGACACUACUGACCUCUUGUGACCAUGGAUUCUGAUUUUCUUUCUCCUAGAGAAGACUGAGCCAUAUGUACAUGUGCUAGAAAAUGUUUUAUAGUUGCACUUUUUAAUGCAUAUUUUUGAAACUGUAAUGCAUCAAAUACAGGGGCUAAAAGUUGCUUGUUUGAUCUGAAAUAUAAAAUUGUUGCUUGAGGGUGCAUGCUGAAUUCAUGAAUUCCUAUUCCAUUGAAUUUUGAAUAUAUUUCUUUACAAUGCAAUUUAUGGGGAAUUUCCAUCCAUGUCUUUUGGAUCCCUCAGUGUUACAACAUUAGAAAAUAAAAGUUUUGUGUUUGUAGUUGGGCACACUGUGUAGUAUGCAUAUUAAGGUACAUCUUAUUUAAUUCAGUUUUCUUUUUGUAUUUAUUACAUAUGGAUCUUUUUGAUUUCUUUAAUCAUGUUCAACCAUACAAUAGUGUUUCAGACUGUCUCUAAUUUAUGAUGUACUGUUAUUUGAUGUACAUUCAUCCAGUUUUGGAAUAUAUAUAUGGUGUUUUGCA